CUCCUGCUCCAGCCGCGUGAUGCGCUCACUCUUCUCAGCCACCUGAGUGAGGAGUCGGUUCUGCUCCUUCGGCACGAGGAUGGUCUGCUGCUGCCAGCCCGGGGCGAGGUGGACGUCAGGGCAGGGCAAGGGGGCCCGGAGGAGUGGGCAAGGCCUGGCUGGCACAGGCCACAGCCAGCAGCUCCCCCAGGCCCCGGGCCACCUCCUGUACCUCGGGCAGUAGUCGCCCCAGUGGGCGGGGGCUCCCCGCAACCCCAGAGUUGGCGCGGGCUCUGCUCUGGCCCAGGCGGCGCUGGCGCUCCGGCACUCCUGCUGCUGCUGCUGCUGCUGGUACCUGUCGCCGCCCCGCGCCAUCAUCUCCAAACCCUGCAGCAGCACCUCCUCCUGCUCCAGCUCCUUUACCUGCUUUGGCAGGCCGCAGCCCACGCCGCUGGUGAUGGUGAAUCUCCCACAUUCCCCUCGGGCACGGGGCCGCCGGGCAUCCCGAGUCCACCUCCAGGGCCUGCAGGCCGUUGCACCUGCGUCCGCGCUCGGGCUCCGUUACAGCGCCGCCUGGACGGGGUGAGGGGUGGGGCACAGCUGCUCCGGGCUGCGGGCCCGCGCUGCUGGGGACGGUCGAAGAGCGUGCACGCCCAGGGGCAGGGGCUUCCUUUCCAGUACAGACCGCGGCUAGGAGGGGGGCACCAACACCAGGAACUGCAGCAGCGACUGGUCCCCUGGGGGGCCGUGGCACGCUUGGAGCCCGGGGCUGCCGUCAGCCUCAGCAGCGAAGUGCGCAGGCCGGCCACGAAGCGCUCAAAGAUCAAGUCGCCGCUGGCCGGGGCCAUCUGGCACAGACCCUGGAGCACCCCGCGGGGCAGCUCCUGCGCGUCCGCACUCUGCCACCGGGACUCGAUUUCAUGCAGGUGCACCAGCCGCUACGCUGGUUGUCCAGAAUGUGGAACAGGGUGUGCUGGCUCUGCAGGAAGGCGUGGGGCAGCCCCUUGUUGCUGGGCGAAGGGGCGGGCUACGCAGGAGGCACGCAGCCCUGCUCAGCAGUCAUGGUUCCGGUCCCCGUGUCCACCCAUUUGUUCUCUCGCGUCCCCACAGCGGGGCCGGCUCCGCGCGCUCCCGUAUUUAUUUUUAAGAGAGACAGGGUCUUGUGUUGCCCAGGCUGGUCUGAAUUCCUUGACUCAAGGGAUCUUCCCACCUUGCCCUCCAGAGCGUUAG
rnacentral:lncRNA from 1 species